CCCGACCCGGAUCCGAAUUGAGUAGAGAUGUCCGCUGCCAUUGCUACUGUUGCUGCUCUCGCUCUUCCAAUCUCCUUUUCUCGCUCUUCUAAGAUUAGCAGCAAAAGGGUGAGCUUUUAACAGCAUUUUUGUAUAGUUAGUUAAGUUGGUUAACUUUCUUACAACCAAACUUGUUCUUUUUUAAAACAGAUUCCUUCAAAACCUUCUUGCACAAUCGUCGUGUCGUUUUAUGGGUUGGCUUUGGUACUUGAAUUUUUUUAUUUAUUUUUACAUGAAUUAUGAGAAGAGUUUAGCAAGAACGCUCGACAAUAUAAUGUUUGUUUCUUAUUUGGGAUACGAUUGUGUUUCUCCAUUUUUAAGAAAAUCUUAGACCUUUUGAAUGAUAAAGACAAACAUUUGCUCCAACAUCUAUAUAUUCAUAUUUCAGUCUAGUGUACUUGAUCUCAUUUGAGCAUGCAAGUUGCAUUUAAUAUAUUUCACUUGAUUAUCUAUCAAUGCCACUCAGCUGAAAUCUAGUUAUGGGAAGUUUUUUCUGAAGUUCAUAUUGAUAAUUACAUUAAUUUAAGUGGCAAUUGUGGACAAAUUAUGACAUCCAUUUAUGUAUAAUGGGAUCAUCUCAGGGCAUGGGAGGUGGAUUUAGGGUAUUUGCUAUAAUUGGGGAGGAAGGUGGAUCGAUAGAGAGAAAGAAACCUUGGAAUACACUGUUUGAAGUAGAAGAUCCGAGGUCUAAACUUCCCCGAUACGAUGGCAAGUUCUUGGAUGCAUAUCAAGCUCUAGAGGUGGCUCGAUACGAUAUACAAUACUGCGAUUGGAAGGCUCGACAAGAUGUCCUCGCGAUCAUGCUCCUACAUGAAAAGGUAACUUCCAUUAUAAAUGUCUGUGUAAGAGUGGGUGGGUCUAAAUAAAAACCUUCUUAUUGUGAGAAGGGUAAGAAUUCUACAAUGAACCUACUGCACUGGAUCUAUAAGUAAUUCUCUGUAGAGCUCAAUGCAAUUACUUAUAGGCUGGCUACAUGGAAAGGUAAGUGCCAUUAUAAAUGUUUGCUGACUGUAGAGUUCAGUGCAAUUACUUAUAGGCUGGCUCAAUGCAGUUACUUUAUAAGUUGAGUGUAGAGUUCUCACAAUUCUCACAAUAAAAAGGUUUUUAUUUGAAUCACUCCUGUCUUGUGUAUUUUUAUCUUGGGAUGUUCCUUAACUUUGGUAGUAAUCGGUAGGUUGUGGAAGUAUUAAAUCCUCUUGCUCGUGAGUUCAAAUCGAUAGGAACGCUCAAAAAGGAACUUGCAGAGCUGCAGGAUGGACUAGCUCAAGCUCACAAUCAGGUAUUGCAAUAUAAGCAACACAAGAAUUUCAACAACAGUGGCACAUUACACUAUUUCUUUGACAAAAAUAGCCAAAGUUGUCAGUUAAAAAGGUCUCAUAUAUAUUGAUGAAAGUUGAAGAUUAGACAAAGUUCUAAUAUUUGAAUGUGUGUGCACAUAUAGGUGCAUAUAUCAGAAGCAAGGGUUUCCACUGCAGUGGACAAGCUAGCUUACAUGGAAACAUUGGUUAAUGACAAGAUAUUGCAAGAAAGAAACGCACCCGAAGAUGAUGUUUCGCCUCCAAGUACUUCCACUGGAUCUGCAGAUAGCAUGAAGAGCAGACAGACACGAAGAAGCCUCAAUGUCUCUGGCCCCGUCCAGCCAUACAGUCCCCGUCUGAAGAAUUUCUGGUACCCUGUUGCCUUCUCUGCAGACCUGAAGGAUGACACAAUGGUAUGCACACGUAUAUAUUUGCUGAAAACUUUAUCUGCAUAUCAUGUGAUUGAUGUAUAAAGUUUUAAGCAUGGUCUCUUCUUGCAGAUCCCAAUGGAUUGCUUUGAGGAAUCUUGGGUUCUUUUUCGAGGAAAAGAUGGCAAACCUGGUUGCGUGCGGAACACUUGUGCCCACCGGGCAUGCCCUCUUGACCUUGGCUCGGUUCAUGAGGGCCGUAUCCAGUGUCCUUAUCACGGUAAGAUUGAUCAGGAACUUCUUGAUUUUCUUAACAAUGUAGUAUUUGGUCCUGAAACGUUACCAGAAAAUGAGCUUUAUCGCAAAAUGUGGCAGGAUGGGAAUACUCAACUGAUGGGAAAUGUGAGAAAAUGCCAUCUACUAAACUACUCAAUGUGAGAAUCAAGGCAUUACCAUGCUUUGAGCAAGAGGGAAUGAUAUGGAUUUGGCCAGGAGAUGAUCCUCCAACGGCAAACCUUCCGUCUCUGCUACCACCAUCAGGAUUUCAAAUACA
rnacentral:lncRNA from 1 species